AUUGAACGCUGGCGGCAUGCCUUACACAUGCAAGUCGAACGGCAGCACGGGGCAACCUGGUGGCGAGUGGCGAACGGGUGAGUAAUGCAUCGGAACGUGCCAUUGAGUGGGGGAUAACGUAGCGAAAGUUGCGCUAAUACCGCAUAUUCUGUGAGCAGGAAAGCAGGGGACCGCAAGGCCUUGCGCUCUUUGAGCGGCCGAUGUCAGAUUAGCUAGUUGGUGAGGUAACGGCUUACCAAGGCGACGAUCUGUAGCGGGUCUGAGAGGAUGAUCCGCCACACUGGAACUGAGACACGGUCCAGACUCCUACGGGAGGCAGCAGUGGGGAAUUUUGGACAAUGGGCGGCAAGCCUGAUCCAGCCAUGCCGCGUGAGUGAUGAAGG
rnacentral:rRNA from 1 species